rnacentral:rRNA from 1 species
AGAGUUUGAUCCUGGCUCAGGAUGAACGCUAGCUACAGGCUUAACACAUGCAAGUCGAGGGGAAACGACAUCGAAAGCUUGCUUUUGAUGGGCGUCGACCGGCGCACGGGUGAGUAACGCGUAUCCAACCUGCCCAUCACUUGGGGAUAACCUUGCGAAAGUAAGACUAAUACCCAAUGAUAUCUCUAGAAGACAUCUGAAAGAGAUUAAAGAUUUAUCGGUGAUGGAUGGGGAUGCGUCUGAUUAGCUUGUUGGCGGGGUAACGCCACCGAAGGCUACGAUCGAGUAGGGGUUCUGAGAGGAACGGUCCCCACAUUGGAACUGAGACACGGUCCAAACUCCGUACGGGAGGCA